CUACGGGCGGCUGCAGUGAGGAAUAUUGCACAAUGGGGGGAACCCUGAUGCAGCAACGCCGCGUGGAGGAUGACGCAUUUCGGUGUGUAAACUCCUUUUAUAUGUCAAGAAAAUGACGGUAGCAUAUGAAUAAGCACCGGCUAACUCCGUGCCAGCAGCCGCGGUAAUACGGAGGGUGCAAGCGUUAUUCGGAAUCACUGGGCGUAAAGGACGCGUAGGCGGGUUGGAAAGUCAGGUGUGAAAUCCUACAGCUUAACUGUAGAACUGUACUUGAAACUUCUAAUCUAGAGUAUGGGAGGGGGAGAUGGAAUUAGUGGUGUAGGGGUAAAAUCCGUAGAUAUCACUAGGAAUACCUAAAGCGAAGGCGAUCUCCUGGAACAUUACUGACGCUAAGGCGUGAAAGCGUGGGGAGCAAACAGGAUUAGAUACCCGUGUAGUC
rnacentral:rRNA from 1 species